UUAAGUUAUUAAGGGCGCACGGUGGAUGCCUUGGCACUAGAAGCCGAUGAAGGACGUUACUAACGACGAUAUGCUUUGGGGAGCUGUAAGUAAGCUUUGAUCCAGAGAUUUCCGAAUGGGGAAACCCAGCAUGAGUUAUGUCAUGUUAUCGAUAUGUGAAUACAUAGCAUAUCAGAAGGCACACCCGGAGAACUGAAACAUCUUAGUACCCGGAGGAAGAGAAAGAAAAUUCGAUUCCCUUAGUAGCGGCGAGCGAAACGGGAAGAGCCCAAACCAAAAAGCUUGCUUGUUGGGGUUGUAGGACACUCUAUACGGAGUUACAAAGGACGACAUUAGACGAAUCAUCUGGAAAGAUGAAUCAAAGAAGGUAAUAAUCCUGUAGUCGAAAAUGUUGUCUCUCUUGAGUGGAUCCUGAGUACGACGGAGCACGUGAAAUUCCGUCGGAAUCUGGGAGGACCAUCUCCUAAGGCUAAAUACUCUCUAGUGACCGAUAGUGAACCAGUACCGUGAGGGAAAGGUGAAAAGCACCCCGGAAGGAGAGUGAAAUAGAACCUGAAACCGUGUGCUUACAAGUAGUCAGAGCCCGUUAAUGGGUGAUGGCGUGCCUUUUGUAGAAUGAACCGGCGAGUUACGAUUUGAUGCAAGGUUAAGCAGUAAAUGUGGAGCCGUAGCGAAAGCGAGUCUGAAUAGGGCGUUUAGUAUUUGGUCGUAGACCCGAAACCAGGUGAUCUACCCUUGGUCAGGUUGAAGUUCAGGUAACACUGAAUGGAGGACCGAACCGACUUACGUUGAAAAGUGAGCGGAUGAACUGAGGGUAGCGGAGAAAUUCCAAUCGAACCUGGAGAUAGCUGGUUCUCUCCGAAAUAGCUUUAGGGCUAGCCUCAAGUGAUGAUUAUUGGAGGUAGAGCACUGUUUGGACGAGGGGCCCCUCUCGGGUUACCGAAUUCAGACAAACUCCGAAUGCCAAUUAAUUUAACUUGGGAGUCAGAACAUGGGUGAUAAGGUCCGUGUUCGAAAGGGAAACAGCCCAGACCACCAGCUAAGGUCCCAAAAUAUAUGUUAAGUGGAAAAGGAUGUGGCGUUGCCCAGACAACUAGGAUGUUGGCUUAGAAGCAGCCAUCAUUUAAAGAGUGCGUAAUAGCUCACUAGUCGAGUGACACUGCGCCGAAAAUGUACCGGGGCUAAACAUAUUACCGAAGCUGUGGAUUGUCCUUUGGACAAUGGUAGGAGAGCGUUCUAAGGGCGUUGAAGCAUGAUCGUAAGGACAUGUGGAGCGCUUAGAAGUGAGAAUGCCGGUGUGAGUAGCGAAAGACGGGUGAGAAUCCCGUCCACCGAUUGACUAAGGUUUCCAGAGGAAGGCUCGUCCGCUCUGGGUUAGUCGGGUCCUAAGCUGAGGCCGACAGGCGUAGGCGAUGGAUAACAGGUUGAUAUUCCUGUACCACCUAUAAUCGUUUUAAUCGAUGGGGGGACGCAGUAGGAUAGGCGAAGCGUGCGAUUGGAUUGCACGUCUAAGCAGUAAGGCUGAGUAUUAGGCAAAUCCGGUACUCGUUAAGGCUGAGCUGUGAUGGGGAGAAGACAUUGAGUCUUCGAGUCGUUGAUUUCACACUGCCGAGAAAAGCCUCUAGAUAGAAAAUAGGUGCCCGUACCGCAAACCGACACAGGUAGUCAAGAUGAGAAUUCUAAGGUGAGCGAGCGAACUCUCGUUAAGGAACUCGGCAAAAUGACCCCGUAACUUCGGGAGAAGGGGUGCUCUUUAGGGUUAACGCCCAGAAGAGCCGCAGUGAAUAGGCCCAAGCGACUGUUUAUCAAAAACACAGGUCUCUGCUAAACCGUAAGGUGAUGUAUAGGGGCUGACGCCUGCCCGGUGCUGGAAGGUUAAGAGGAGUGGUUAGCUUCUGCGAAGCUACGAAUCGAAGCCCCAGUAAACGGCGGCCGUAACUAUAACGGUCCUAAGGUAGCGAAAUUCCUUGUCGGGUAAGUUCCGACCCGCACGAAAGGCGUAACGAUUUGGGCACUGUCUCAACGAGAGACUCGGUGAAAUCAUAGUACCUGUGAAGAUGCAGGUUACCCGCGACAGGACGGAAAGACCCCGUGGAGCUUUACUGUAGCCUGAUAUUGAAAUUCGGCACAGCUUGUACAGGAUAGGUAGGAGCCUUUGAAACGUGAGCGCUAGCUUACGUGGAGGCGCUGGUGGGAUACUACCCUAGCUGUGUUGGCUUUCUAACCCGCACCACUUAUCGUGGUGGGAGACAGUGUCAGGCGGGCAGUUUGACUGGGGCGGUCGCCUCCUAAAAGGUAACGGAGGCGCUCAAAGGUUCCCUCAGAAUGGUUGGAAAUCAUUCAUAGAGUGUAAAGGCAUAAGGGAGCUUGACUGCGAGACCUACAAGUCGAG
rnacentral:rRNA from 2 species